AUUGAACGCUGGCGGCAUGCCUUACACAUGCAAGUCGAACGGCAGCACGGGAGCAAUCCUGGUGGCGAGUGGCGAACGGGUGAGUAAUAUAUCGGAACGUGCCCGGUCGUGGGGAUAACGUAGCGAAAGCUACGCUAAUACCGCAUACGAUCUACGGAUGAAAGCGGGGGAUCGCAAGACCUCGCGCGAUUGGAGCGGCCGAUAUCAGAUUAGGUAGUUGGUGAGGUAAAGGCUCACCAAGCCGACGAUCUGUAGCUGGUCUGAGAGGACGACCAGCCACACUGGAACUGAGACACGGUCCAGACUCCUACGGGAGGCAGCAGUGGGGAAUUUUGGACAAUGGGCGCAAGCCUGAUCCAGCAAUGCCGCGUGCAGGAUGAAGGCCUU
rnacentral:rRNA from 1 species